GAAUGUACAUUCAACACUCUCUUAUAUGCAUUAUCAUUUCAAUCUAUAAUAAUAAUAAUAAUCAAAGACCGAUCAUUGUUCAAAUUCACUUUCAUUCUCCUACUUUCAUCUUGCUCUCUAGAUCUCUCAUAUUUGUGCUCUCAUCCUCUCUUUGUAAGUAAACAUGUUUCUUAUGGAUCUAUACUUAUUAUUUUUCGAUUGUGUUUGAUUAAUCAAUUUUUUGUUCCUUUUCUUUAGUGACUCUCUGAUGUGAACAUUUUGUUAAUUCAUGACACAAUCAAAUCUAAUCUGUGGCCAGUCGUGAUGACUAAACACACGCCAAAAGUUCCCCAAAUCAUGCAGAAAUCAAAUCUAUUUUCAUGAUCAUGAAGGGUGUUUUGCAAGAAGUGCAUCAAAGUUGCAAUAACUUCUUCACAUGGUAAAUGUCCAACAUGUGGGGAAAAGGUUAAAUCGAAACAACUAGUAAGGGUGUUUCUUCCAUCUUCCAACCGAAGGUAAUUUCAUAAUUUAUAAGUUGGUUUUAAAUAGUAUUGUGAUUUAAAUAAAUUUGUAUUACGACUAAAUUGAUAUUACCUAUUCAAAUAAUUAAUAAAUUGAUGCUCUAAACCUAAUACGAACAUAGCUUCGUUAAUAUUAAACAGUAUUAGAAUGUGUAUUAAUUUUCAAUAGAUUCUUGAAGUUCUUUUAUGUCAUGUAACUCCUUAUUUUCAAUAAGUAGUGUUAGAAAAAGUUUUUAUUACUAUAACUUUAUGUUGUUUCUCUUUUUCUAUACAACAGGAUCAUCCAAGCUUUGUUGAGGAAAGUGGGAAUGAAUAAUACUUCAUUAUGCUACCUUCAAGAUCGUUGAUGGGUUCUUUUAUUUUUAAAUGUUCAAUGUAGUAUAUGUGUAUUGUCAUAUGCAUCAGUUUUCAUAACUUGUAGCACUACUUAGAUAUGUUUGUUGGUACUUUGGAUGCACAAUACUUUUUUAAUAAUGCUGGUGUUUGUCUAUUUUGCUUCCUUAGAUUUUGUUCUACCCCCACCUCCCCCAUGUCAACAUAGUAGGGAUGUCUCUCAUGCCAUGUGAUGUUUUUGCAUUCUAUUUGCUUAAAAAAAUGUUCUUGGAUUUAAUUUGAUUCGUCUAUUCAAAUAAGAACAUAUCCUUUUUCUUUUAAGUGUAAUAUCUUUAACACCUACACUGGUUCUUCUUGAAAAUAAUGACUUUUAAAACUAACCAUUUAAGUGCAAUAUCUUGUAGUGUCUCUAUUAGAUCUUCUGUUUGAUUGCUUCUUUCUCCCUAUUUGGUUUCUUCCAUUUGAUUGCCUCUCUCUUUUAUGGUUUGAUUGUUUCUCUCUGUGUUGGUUUCUUCUAUCUUGGUUGCUUCUCUCUAAUGAUUCUUCUAUUUGGUUAGGAUUGAAAUUGUUUGAUUUGAUUUGACGUGGUUCUGUUUGGAUGGUUUUUCUCUUUGGCUGGAUAAUGUUGCCCUCUCUUUGAUGAUAACUCACGUUGGUUGCUACUCUCCGUUGAUUCUACUAUCAGUAGAUGCAGUUUAUUUUUUGGGUUAAUUUCUAACAAAC
rnacentral:lncRNA from 1 species